UGGAAAUGUUCCUUUUCAGUCUUCAGGGCUGAAAUGGACGAGGGUAAGGAAGGCAAGUCAUCUGAAGAUGAAAUUUCCAAUAUAAAGAAAAGCAGGGUGGUAAAGGAUAAAGAGAGAGGAGUUGAGAAAAUAUGGGGUGAGGAAAAAAAAAGAGAGAGGCGAGCAAAGGCAAAGAUCCAAAGAGUUCAAAGAGGCUGGCAGAAGGAAAUAGCUGCGGGCUGAGUGCUGACGAGGGGCGGUACUGACGGCAGUGAGCGGGCUGGAGCGCGGAGCUGGGCUGCGGCGGCACGGAGCUGCUGCGGUUCCCGCUGCUCAGCGAGGAGGCGGUGAGUGCGCGGCUGCGAAGGCGAGCUUGAAACUGCACCGCCACAGCGCGCUCCUGCUGUGUCUGGAGCUCCGGCGUCUCCUCUGCCUCCCUGCUCUGCGCCUCCCACCCUCCUUCCCUCCUCCUCUUCCCAGCUCCCCCUCCCCUCUGUGCUCGCAGCCUCGCCUGUGAGAAUCUACUGUAAGUGUGAGUUGCUUAGACGAAGUCACACACCCACGGAGGGAAGUAAUCUGCAGGCUGCCGUGGUGAGUGUUGCCUAGCGGUCUCCCGGAAAGGCGCGUCUUCCUCCCCAGAUAAUUAGGGCAAAGAAUCCUCCUGACGACGCCAGCGAGGACCAGAGUUCCCGGGAGGCAGAAGGGAAAUCAGCCUUAGCUCAGCAUCAGCCCUUGGAGAAGCGGGUCCCUUGGUUUGGCAUAUUGGCUGCUGCCACUCACAGGCUUGUGGCAUCAACAACCUUGUCGUCACACAGCCGCGCUUUCACAGGCUCUGCUGGUCCGUGGCUAGUUUCUUAAACAACCAUAUCGCUCACUGCUAUUGACCCUUCCUGUCCUUCCCAUAGUUUGGCGGCUUGAAGGAGAGAAUUACCGAACGUUUUCAUCAGAAGUAAAUUGUAGAAUAUCUAAAUUCUAUUCAGGCUGUAGGUCUCAGAUUUCAGGGAGUUAAAGAAUUUGGGAACUGAGAUUUGUACUGUCAAAUACUUUAAGAUGUCAUGAUUUAAUUCAUUUAUUUAAUUAAUAGAAUGUUUAAGUAUUUUAGAAAGUAUAUAAUGUGCAGAUAUAUGCAAUUACUUCUAGUGAUAUUAGCAUGGGUCAAAUAAUCUCAGGGGUUAAUUAUUUUAAUUGCUUGUGUUCUUUUACAUUGAGAGGUUUACAAAUAACCAGG
rnacentral:lncRNA from 1 species